UACGUAGGGGGCGAGCGUUGUCCGGAAUUAUUGGGCGUAAAGAGCGUGUAGGCGGUUCGGUAAGUCUGCCGUGAAAACCUGGGGCUCAACCCCGGGCGUGCGGUGGAUACUGCCGGGCUAGAGGGUGGUAGAGGCGAGUGGAAUUCCCGGUGUAGCGGUGAAAUGCGCAGAUAUCGGGAGGAACACCAGUAGCGAAGGCGGCACUCUGGGCCGGUACUGACGCUGAGGAGCGAAAAGCGUGGGGGAGCGAACAGG
rnacentral:rRNA from 1 species